CAGUCGCCACGGUAAUACGUAGGGUGCGAGCGUUAAUCGGAAUUACUGGGCGUAAAGCGUGCGCAGGCGGUUUGUUAAGACAGAUGUGAAAUCCCCGGGCUCAACCUGGGAACUGCAUUUGUGACUGGCAAGCUAGAGUGUGGCAGAGGGGGGUGGAAUUCCGCGUGUAGCAGUGAAAUGCGUAGAUAUGCGGAGGAACACCGAUGGCGAAGGCAGCCCCCUGGGCCAACACUGACGCUCAUGCACGAAAGCGUGGGGAGCAAACAGGAUUAGAUACCCGGGUAGUCCCUGUCUCUUAUAC
rnacentral:rRNA from 1 species